AUACUUACCUGACAGGGGAGAUAAUGUGAUCACAUAGGUGAUUUUCCCAGGGUGGAUCUUUCCCAUUGCACUCCAGAUAUGCUGACCCUUGUGAUUUCUCCAAAUGCAGGAAACUCAACUGCAUAAUUUGUGGUAGUAGGGUACUGAAUUUGCACUUUCCCUUG
ensembl:snRNA U1 U1 spliceosomal RNA